AGGACACCGAGGCCAAUUGAAAUCUAGUCCAGAUUCCCGCUAUGCCAUCCUUCCUGCCAACACUCAUUUUGUUGGCUGUCUCCCCAUGUGUCCUCUCACAGGUCGUCCUGACCCAAUCAGAUCCUGUCGUGAAAAAACCAGGAGAAUCCCAUAAACUGUCCUGUGCUGUCACUGGGUUUGAUAUUAACAGCUACUAUAUGAGCUGGAUCCGACAGAAGCCUGGAAAAGGAUUGGAAUGGCUUGUCCGGUAUUAUCGUCCUGGUGACAGCUCCAAUGCUUAUUCCCCUGCAAUCCAAGGGCGAUUCACGGCCUCCAAGGACAGCUCCAACUUCUAUCUGCAAAUGAACAGCCUGAAAGUGGAGGACACGGCUGUGUAUUACUGUGCAAGAGACACACAGCACAUGUUUGAGGUUUAUGCGGAUGCAUAA